rnacentral:miRNA from 14 species
GGAUGCCCACUUGGUGUUUACAUCUCAGAUAAACAAUGAACAGUUUUUUCGUGUAAAUAUGUCCCAGUAUUAUAUAGGACAUACUUAUGCUAAACAAAUUAUGCAUCAUUUAUUUGAAAUUCAAAUUUAA